CUCCCGGUCUCAACGUGUCAUGGCGUUGGUGGUUGGCAUGACGUAGCAAGUGGUUCUUCGACAGGCAAUGGACAUCCUGAACUAUGCUUCGCUGAUGGUGACCAACGUCAAACCGGAAGGUUUAUGAAAGUCCAGAAGACGUUUGACCGGAAGCUCGAGAAAAAGCUGAACUAUAGCUCAAAAAAGCAAAGCUGGGCUAGUAACAUAUGCGCUACUCGGAGGACACUCGUCGAAAACAUAUGUCCAUCAUAUGGCAGCUGUUCAACGUGGCCGACUACGGUGCGGCACAACAUGUGUGUAAGAACAGCCACAGAAGCGAUGCACUUUCAGGGAGUGUUGCUUUCCCAGCACUGACAUUGCAAUGGACAUUGAGCACAUUGCGUACGACCAAGAUAACUGCAACUAAAUCAUGUUUUGGGAUUUGCGCUAAUCUGUUAAGCGUAUUUCAACCAAGUAGCAGAAGAACGACCUCUUCGUUGCCCGAAAGAGCGGCAGUUGAGCUUUGCGCCUGAAGCAAGGUCUCCACCGGGAUUCUCGUCGUACGGGUCGCACCCCAGCAUGUGGUAGAGGGACGCUGGUCUUUCGGCCGGUUCUCCACCGGUGGAAGGCGGAGAGGAGAGAUCGCGCGACCACUUCGAAUAUCUCGAAAAUGACGAGAAAUGAAAAGCUGACGUACAUUCCCAGGAUGCCUCCCAUGUUGCUCACGAGGUUGGAAGUCUGCAAAGAGCCAUGACGGCUCCGUGUUAGCAUACUGUGGUAACCAGUG